rnacentral:ncRNA from 1 species
GACCCGAAAGAUGGUGAACUAUACCUGAGCAGGAUGAAGCCAGAGGAAACUCUGGUGGAGGUCCGAAGCGAUUCUGACGUGCAAAUCGAUCGUCUGACUUUGGUAUAGAGGCGAAAGACUAAUCGAACAAUCUGUAGCUGG